rnacentral:rRNA from 1 species
GAUGAACGCUAGCUACAGGCUUAACACAUGCAAGUCGAGGGGCAGCAUUAGGUAGCAAUACUGAGAUGGCGACCGGCGCACGGUGCGUAACGCGUAUCCAACCUCCCGUUACUCUCGGAUAGCCUUCCGAAAGGGAGAUUAAUACGAGAUGGUGUUGAAAUUCCGCAUGUUAUUUCAACUAAAGAUUCAUCGGUAACGGAUGGGGAUGCGUGACAUUAGGUAGAUGGCGGGGUAACGGCCCACCAUGCCUACGAUGUCUAGGGGUUCUGAGAGGAAGGUCCCCCACACUGGAACUGAGACACGGUCCAGACUCCUACGGGAGGCAGCAGUGAGGAAUAUUGGUCAAUGGUCGGAAGACUGAACCAGCCAAGUAGCGUGAAGGAUGAAGGUUCUAUGGAUUGUAAACUUCUUUUAUACGGGAAUAAAACCACCUACGUGUAGGUGCUUGUAUGUACCGUAUGAAUAAGCAUCGGCUAACUCCGUG